rnacentral:miRNA from 1 species
CUUCCUCUUCCUCUUUGUCAUUUUUCUCAUGGAUUUCUAAAAAAGGACUUUUUUCCCAAAGUCAUUUUUUAGAAGUCCAUGAGAAAAAUGACAAAGAAGAAGAGGGAG